GAUGAACGCUGGCGGCGUGCUUAACACAUGCAAGUCGAACGGUGAAGUAGAGCUUGCUCUGUGGAUCAGUGGCGAACGGGUGAGUAACACGUGAGCAACCUGCCCCUGACUCUGGGAUAAGCGCUGGAAACGGCGUCUAAUACUGGAUAUGUGACGUGACCGCAUGGUCUGCGUCUGGAAAGAAUUUCGGUUGGGGAUGGGCUCGCGGCCUAUCAGCUUGUUGGUGAGGUAAUGGCUCACCAAGGCGUCGACGGGUAGCCGGCCUGAGAGGGUGACCGGCCGACACUGGGACUGAGACACGGCCCAG
rnacentral:rRNA from 1 species